GUCUGGUGGGAAAAUAAUUGUUUGUAUUAGCUGACUGAGCAAACUGCUGGGGCAAGAAUUGGGCAGAAUAGAUGAGGCGUUUGGGAUUACAGGCCUCCACAGGAACAGAAUAAACAUUAUCCAAUUUGUUUUUGAUGAUCCACAGAAAGAGCUGCCUCUGAAUUCACAGUCAUUUUUAGGAACCAGGAGCUAUUUCUAGGAUAUCAAAAAAUGCCAGCAGAGUAUUUUCCUCUGAUACCCAUGACAGCGCUUGUCUGCAGAUUCCAGAGCUCCCGGACACAACCCAGAGAUGAAGAGACCAUCCUCCCACUCUGUGACCCAUUUCAGAUUAGUUACUGCUUAUGAGCAGGGCUAAGCAAAAAUCCUUUAAAACCUGUCUCUGAGGAGGGCUGAUGUGAGCUCCAGAUGUUGAAGUAGACUGGCUGGAGACAGAGACUGCAGCGGGCUUUCCCAUACCUCCUUCCUCUCAUCUCAAGCCUGUAAUACCUGAUAUUUUGGUGUUUUGUUGGUUCUUUCGGUUCCUGCGUUCCUCAGGCGGUGGCUCACUUUUGCCGUAUUCUAAGCCCACAUCCGUCUACAAGGAUACAAAUACGUUUAAAAGAAUUGUUUGAUAUUUAUGGAAAUAUGUUUUAUUUGCUAGGAUAGGAUUAGAUGAGAAGUUCUAUAACACUCUCAUGUUUGUGCAUUAUGUAAGGGGUUAACAAAGGAGGCGAUUAGCUUAGCUUAGCAUAAAGACUGAACGCAGGGGGAAACAGCUAGCCUGGCUCUCUGUUUGAAGUUCAAAAACAGACCUACUUUGUUGAGUUUACAUGCUCCGAUGGUGCUAAUUUUGUUUCAGUGGUUUGUUAAUUCUGUCUUUAAAAGUCAAUAAAAGUUUAAUACCCCAUUUCUUUUGUUUUUUUUUAACAAUUCCUUGGUUUGUUUUAUCUAAUUUCUAUUUGCUUGUUUUUGUGCUGAAUUUACUCUUCAGUGAAUAUUUGUAAGGUUUGUCUUGUGUUGCAUUGUGCUCUUCAUGUGUUGGAAAAGUUAAAUAAAACUUGAAUUCUGAAAAAUACACCUCCAUCACUCAGCAUACAGACGUGGUAGUUGUAUCAACUUUGUCAUCUAACUCAUGGCAAGAAUAAGCGUGUUUCACAAAAUGCUGAACUAUUCCUUUAAAUACCUACGCACCUACCUAAGCCAAACUACGCCUCUCAUUGUGUUUAUAUUAAUCACACAGGUGCUAAGACGAAUGUUUGUUUCUCCCAGUAUAACCUGGUUGUAUCAAUGGCACCAUCAUCAAUAUAAUUAUCUGCAUGA